rnacentral:rRNA from 1 species
UUAUCGGCAGAGACCGGCGCACGGGUGCGUAACGCGUAUGCAAUCUACCUUUACAGAGGGAUAGCCCAGAGAAAUUGGAUUAAUACCUCAUAGUGUUAUUAGAUGGCAUCAUUUGAUAACUAAAGUUCCAACGGUAAAAGAUGGGCAUGCGUCCUAUUAGCUAGAUGGUAAGGUAACGGCUUACCAUGGCUACGAUAGGUAGGGGGUCCUGAGAGGGAGAUCCCCCACACUGGUACUGAGACACGGACCAGACUCCUACGGGAGGCAGCAGUGAGGAAUAUUGGACAAUGGGCGCAAGCCUGAUCCAGCCAUGCCGCGUGCAGGAAGAAGCAUCUAUGGUGUGUAAACUGCUUUUGUACGGGAAGAAACACUCCUACGUGUAGGAGCUUGACGGUACCGUAAGAAUAAGGAUCGGCUAACUCCGUG